ACGGAACGAUUCGUCGUGUCCCAAGCCAGAUGAAACCAGUGAUUGUCGUCACAUAGCCAUGAGGUUGGUUGUUUCCCAACCGUUUGACCUAUCAUUGUUCGCACGUCACACCGAACACGUUCUUGAGGCCAGAAGACAGCAUCGAACCUGUUGUUUGGUUAUAACGAACUUCCGCGAUGUGUGAGCGUUUGACGUCCAUAUCGCCUGCAAACAAUUUUCAAACUAACUUUGCAUUUUGCCAUUACUUACAAUACCGUCAUUAGAGCGGUGUUCAUCCUUGGGUUUGUAGAUUGCUCGAAAACGACUGCGCCAGUUACCAGAGCUAGGCUUAACACUUCAGUUUUUAUUCUGUUGGCGACAGGUAUCUGCGAAAAUGCUGGUGCAGCAGUUCCGUUUUCUUUUACGAGAAAGGUCUCAAUUGACACCCUGCAUAAAUGUGGGGUCAGUUAUACCGACCCUUAUUAAAGUUGGAGCAACAAUCUACGAAACUUAUUUUGAGAAAAACAAAACAAGAAGUUAUUAGUCUUAAAAGCUUUGGAUAUGCGGUGACUAGCGAUAUUUGGACACAUAAUUACUUAAGAUCGUCAUAUAUUUCAUGCACAAUACAUUACAUUAAGGAAGGAGCCCUAGUAAACUGUCUGUUGGCAAUAAAUCCAUGAAAAGUGAAACCUGCACUGGUACCAGUAUACUAAAGAAAAUGCGUGGUAUACCAAAUGACUUUGGUUGCUGCCUGGAAAAGCCUGUCAUAGUGACGGACCGUGGCUCCAAUUUCGUGAUAACCGGCUUAUUCACUGCAUGAAUCACUUAAUUCACAGUUGUAUUGAGAAAGCAGUUAAAGGUGUACAGGAGGUUGCGGAUCUUGUUAUCAAAUGUAGCAAGCUUGUGAAGUACUUUAAAAAGUCUGGGAGCAAUUCCAACCUAGGAACUACCUAGGAAAAAGUCUUUGCCACCUAGAUGGAAUACCAUUUUCUAUUUGUUUAAGUCAGUGGAGGUCAAUUGGGUUGAAAUAACAAAUAUUUUAAUUGAAAAAUACCAAACACCCAGAAUUGAUGGAAUUAUGUAAUUUAAAUCAUUUGAGCUCAAUUGUCCGCGUACUUUCUGUAAUUAUACAACCAUCCACUUAACUAUUUCUUGUACUUGGAAAUUACAGAAAUGUUGCACUCCAGAUACGAAAGAUAUUGCCUGUAUCGUAUAUCUGAAGUCCCACUUGUCCGACCAAAUUUCAAUAGUUAUCCAUUCAUAUAUUUCAGCCUACCAUAAAACAGCUCUUUUCCUUUUUCCACCAACAAAUAAACUUGUGCCAUACUCAACAACUGAAAAACUAGAAUAUAUAGAAGAUUGCAAAAGUAUUAUGAAAACAUUUUCGUUAGCCUCUAUAAAUUUCGAUCCUAAUAAUUCCUUGAGCCUGUGGGACGAUGCGUUUUCGGGUUCAAGACCAAAAUCAAUUCAAUGAUAUCGAUGAAUAUGAAAUUGACAGCUACAUGAACCUAACAGUAAAUUAUACUGAUAAUUUUAAUUGCCUUGAAUGGUGGCACAUAAAAAAAUAUAAUUUUUCCCCUAUUAUAUAAAACUAGCUUCAGCAUUUUUUGUAUUCCUGA